CAGUCGCCGCGGUAAUACGUAGGUGGCAAGCGUUGUCCGGAAUUAUUGGGCGUAAAGGGCUCGCAGGCGGUUUCUUAAGUCUGAUGUGAAAGCCCCCGGCUCAACCGGGGAGGGUCAUUGGAAGCUGGGAAACUUGAGUGCAGAAGAGGAGAGUGGAAUUCCACGUGUAGCGGUGAAAUGCGUAGAGAUGUGGAGGAACACCAGUGGCGAAGGCGACUCUCUGGUCUGUAACUGACGCUGAGGAGCGAAAGCGUGGGGAGCAAACAGGAUUAGAUACCCCCGUAGUCCCUGUCUCUUAUAA
rnacentral:rRNA from 1 species